rnacentral:siRNA from 1 species
UGUAUCUUGUGAUUAAUCUUGCCC